CAAUGCUGACGAGUCCAAAACAGGACGAAACAGCUGUCCAGUGC
rnacentral:hammerhead_ribozyme from 1 species